CCAGGGCCUCCGCUCCUGGCCGCCACCCGGCACACAAUGCACCGACCCCUAUGGCGCCUCCUGCGGGUGGUGGGCCUGCGGGAGGAUGGGCCCAUGUCUCCUCUUCGGGCUGUGCCCGGCCGGGCCCCAUGGACUAAGGCCCGGCGACCAGACGCUCGCCCUCGGGCACCCUCCCCGGGCCUGGCUCCAGGGCGGGGCCCCGGUAACCCUAUCCCGGGCAGGGUAAACUGUUCCCUUGGUGUCCUUUUCAUAAGGGUCUGUUAUUUACCUUGAACCUUUAAAUAUGUUAUAAUUACUAGCUUCUCAUUGAGUUUCUCUCCACAGAAAUACAGCCCCGAGUCAGAUGAAUUUACUUGAAUUUACUUGAGGUUUUUUUUUUUUUCCCUGCUUGUUUUCUCUUUUUUCUUUCUCAACAGGUGAUCCAGGUGAUGUACUUUUUGUCUGUUUGUUUUGUUGGUUUUUGUUUUUUUGCCCUUGUCAAUAGAAAAUUGUACUUAGUAGUCAGUAUAAUCUUUUAAUUAUAUAAGUUUGCAUAUGGUAGUGAUAGGAUGUGCGAUCCUUAAUAGUCUGCAAAGGCUUUGUGUGCAUUCCAAAGUGCUCUGGCAUUCACACCCACACUCUGGGAGUAUGGGAGAGGUCGUACCUUGUCUUAUUGUUUUAUGGUAGGAUAAACGUAGCUAUGUCAAGUUUUAGUCUAAGUGUUUAGAUGAACUGUUGGACUUCCAGACCACCAGUUUUAGGGAAGUCGGUUAUGGGUCACACUCUGACUACACCUACACCUACACCUACACACACAAACACAUCCACAUUCCAAUGUAAGGAACAAACACCCACUGAUGUAUAAAUAAAGACCAGCCCUCACUCUCGUGCGAGUGCUCUGGUGACUGCCCUUGCUAGCAAGAAAACCUGUGUGUUUCUCCUCUCUGAUUCUCUGCUGAAGAAGUGUUUUAGAAUACAUCUCUUGACAGCCCUUUAUCACUGCUCCUCUUCUCUGCUGUUUUUCUUUCCCUACCUCUCUUUCUUUCUCCCUUUUCUUUCCCCCAGUCAUGUCUGUCCCGUGUGUAGCAAGUGAAAAUAAAAUAAAUAAAUAAAUAAAUAAAAACAAAGGUGAAUCAAAUAGACCAGUACGGCAAGGCCGGGAUGGUCCAUUUGGCAAAGUAAAUCCGUUGGGCAUCUU
ensembl:lncRNA